GUUGAGGAAGAUAAUGACGGUACUCAACAAGGAAGUGACGGCUAACUACGUGCCAGCAGCCGCGGUAAAACGUAGGUCACAAGCGUUGUCCGGAAUUACUGGGUGUAAAGGGAGCGCAGGCGGGAAGACAAGUUGGAAGUGAAAUCCAUGGGCUCAACCCAUGAACUGCUUUCAAAACUGUUUUUCUUGAGUAGUGCAGAGGUAGGCGGAAUUCCCGGUGUAGCGGUGGAAUGCGUAGAUAUCGGGAGGAACACCAGUGGCGAAGGCGGCCUACUGGGCACCAACUGACGCUGAGGCUCGAAAGUGUGGGUAGCAAACAGGAUUAGAUACCCUGGUAGUCCACACCGUAAACGAUGAUUACUAGGUGUUGGAGGAUUGACCCCUUCAGUGCCGCAGUUAACACAAUAAGUAAUCCACCUGGGGAGUACGACCGCAAGGUUGAAACUCAAAGGAAUUGACGGGGGCCCGCACAAGCAGUGGAGUAUGUGGUUUAAUUCGACGCAACGCGAAGAACCUUACCAAGUCUUGACAUCCUKUGACGAUGCUGGAAACAGUAUUUYUCUUCGGARCRCGGAGACAGGUGGUGCAUGGUUGUCGUCAGCUCGUGUCGUGAGAUGUUGGGUUAAGUCCCGCAACGAGCGCAACCCUUAUGGUCAGUUACUACGCAAGAGGACUCUGGCCGGACU
rnacentral:rRNA from 1 species